rnacentral:lncRNA from 13 species
CAGUGAUGCCGUUUGGAUGCUUGUCCCUUCCAAAUCUCACAUUGGAAUGUGAUUCCUAAGUGCUGGAUGUGGGCGUGAUGGAAGACGUUUGAAUCAUGGAGGUGGUUCCCUCACGAAUGGACCAGUGCCAUCCUCAGCUCCAAGAGGCCUCACCAGAAGCUGAGGAGAUGCUGGC